GGAGGAAGGCGGGGAUGACGUCAAGUCCUCAUGGCCCUUAUGUCCAGGGCUACACACGUGCUACAAUGGCCGGUACAAAGGGCAGCAAAGCCGCGAGGUGGAGCCAAUCCCAGAAAGCCGGUCUCAGUUCGGAUUGGAGUCUGCAACUCGACUCCAUGAAGUUGGAAUCGCUAGUAAUCGCGGAUCAGCAUGCCCGCGGUCCGAAUACGUCCGGCCUU
rnacentral:rRNA from 1 species